GUGGUGGCCCCAGGUGAGAUUUCCAUACGUGUUAGCAGUUGAGUAGUUGAUUGGAAAAGAGAGGCCUUAUCCUAUCUUUUUCUCAGUUUUAAUUGCCUUGCUGGAAAUACCGAACCGAACCGACCCGACCCAUCCAGACUUCUGUAUUUGUUCAUCACACAUUUUUCAGCAGCAUCUGGUUCAAUGGAAAAUGAAUGAAUACACAGGAAAAAGUAACAAACUUCUUUUUAUUUCUAAGAGAAAGCAAGCAAGCAACCAUACAAUACAAUAUAACCCUAUCUUUCCUUCCUACUCCAACUUUUUAAAAGAAUUUCUCUACUCAUUCUUCUGCUAAGAUUCUUGUUAAAUCAAAGGAAGAAACUUCCACUCUGUUGCAGCCAAAAACAUCCUAUUUCUAAGCCUCUCCCCCCCAAAACACAUUUCUCUCUCUCUAUGUCAGCAUCAUCAUCGUCAUCGACUCCAUCCCAUAGAAACCUAAACAUCAAACUCACAAUAUAAUAUGUACAUUCCCCUUCCCCCCAGCCGAACCCAGAACCAGAAUCUUGCGCACCCCGCCUACUGCUCGAGUCCUGGCUGUACAGGGAUAUCUGUCUUCGGAAUGAAAAAUUUGAGUCCUUAAAAGUCAAUCUAUCUCAUUGCAGAAGAGGUGCUGCCUGUGUUUGAUGAUGAUUGUCUCUGACAUAAACAAUCUGGUAAAGGAUUCACAUAGAAGGAUUCCUCGGAACGAAACCUAUCCAUGCCUUUUGUUCCUGAGAUGGGACCUUUCCUCUUCCUUGGAGAUCCUUGUCUGUCCAACAAUCACAGCCAACCAAUAUCGAACACAAAUAAUGUUUCUCAGUGGUAUAACCAGUGAAAACAAGUUAGAAAGAUGAAGUUCUACAAAAAAAAUUAAAAGAGCAAUCUCAAUUUUAAAGGAAUGAGUGAACAGGCAUUCUGCCAUACCGUUUCUUGUGAAGUUCAACAACACGGCUUGAAAGAUUUCUGCCUUCUUUCAGUUUCCGUCUUUCAACUUUAUCGAAAAGACGAACAAGUGAUUUCCUGUUGCAGAAAAUCAAAUCAUUAAGGAACGACUUCAAUUCCAACAAAUUACCCAAAAAGAAAGUAAGCAAAAGCACAAGUACCUGUCAGGAGAAAUUGUUUUUCUAUGUCCCAAAUAACGACGAUGACCUUCAACUGCCCUUGCCAUGUUACCAGAGUAGGUUGGGAGGAAGACAGCACUUUCCACAGACACAAUAUAGUCAAGAGCAGCCAUUUGAGAAGCAUGAUUGCGAAAUGGUUCAAGCUCUUCAACUGAAGCCAAUUUUUCCUGUAACAUUAUCAUGAUAUGAAAUAUCAACAAGUCGGCCGUAGGAUAGCCAAAAAAAUUUAAACCAACGUAGCGCCUAACAAAGAGAGACCCCAUAAAAGGGAAGCACAUUCAUGAUAAAAUCUGACAGUAAACAUUGUUACACACAAUUAUAACUUGGCCAACAAGCUUAUCAUCCUAUUUCUAAGCCUCUCCCCCCCAAAACACAUUUCUCUCUCUCUAUGUCAGCAUCAUCAUCGUCAUCGACUCCAUCCCAUAGAAACCUAAACAUCAAACUCACAAUAUAAUAUGUACAUUCCCCUUCCCCCCAGCCGAACCCAGAACCAGAAUCUUGCGCACCCCGCCUACUGCUCGAGUCCUGGCUGUACAGGGAUAUCUGUCUUCGGAAUGAAAAAUUUGAGUCCUUAAAAGUCAAUCUAUCUCAUUGCAGAAGAGGUGCUGCCUGUGUUUGAUGAUGAUUGUCUCUGACAUAAACAAUCUGGUAAAGGAUUCACAUAGAAGGAUUCCUCGGAACGAAACCUAUCCAUGCCUUUUGUUCCUGAGAUGGGACCUUUCCUCUUCCUUGGAGAUCCUUGUCUGUCCAACAAUCACAGCCAACCAAUAUCGAACACAAAUAAUGUUUCUCAGUGGUAUAACCAGUGAAAACAAGUUAGAAAGAUGAAGUUCUACAAAAAAAAUUAAAAGAGCAAUCUCAAUUUUAAAGGAAUGAGUGAACAGGCAUUCUGCCAUACCGUUUCUUGUGAAGUUCAACAACACGGCUUGAAAGAUUUCUGCCUUCUUUCAGUUUCCGUCUUUCAACUUUAUCGAAAAGACGAACAAGUGAUUU
rnacentral:lncRNA from 1 species